UCCCAGCCGUCGUAGAGUGAACAUCGUACACGGCACACAUCCGAGACGCGCGCGAUAUGAACAGUGAUCGUGUGUGAAGUGGGCAAAGUGGAACUAGCGCUUGGAGUCCUAGCCGUCGAGCAGCUGAUCGGCGCUUGCGACGAUAUGGAAGCCACCUACUGCAUGGGGACAGACGUGGACGUUUGCAGAAUGUUCGACCAAUAUUUAUAUAAGAGGAACGACAACUUGGACUUAUCCUGCUCGGUGUCACAAGGCAUCCACAACAGUUACGGCAUGACAGAUCAGACAUUUCACACUCCUAGUUUCGGCGAUGAAGAUUUUGACAUCCCACCGAUCAACCCCCACCAAAACCACCCCCAAGCCAACAUGGGCUACCACCAACAACCCCCUAUGUCAAUGAGCAUGAGUCAGACGACAGACAGCCUAAGCAUGAGUGACCCUAACGGCUACCACCAACAGAACCACAGCAUGUACCAGGACCACAGCAUGGGCCUCAGUGUCAGCGCCAGCUACAGUAGUCCCCCACCCCCCGGCCAGCCCAACUAUAGCCACUCACAAAUGCAGAUGGUACAGCCCCAGCAUUACAACAUGGGUCCACCAUUCGGGCGGUCCCCACAGGGCCACUCUCCCCCUGGAGCCCCCCAUCCCCACCAUGAGACCACCACCACAAGCGAUGACAGUGAUGACAGCACGCCACACACACAACUAUUAGCUGGUAUGAAGAGACCGUCCCCUGAGCCAGCAGACACCAGCUUAGCAAAGAUACAGAAGAAACCAAAAGCUCAAAAAAAGAAAAAGAAGAGGGAUCCAAAUGAACCACAGAAACCGGUAUCGGCAUAUGCCCUCUUCUUCAGGGACACACAAGCCGCCAUCAAGGGGCAAAACCCCAAUGCGAGCUUUGGAGAGGUCUCCAAGAUUGUUGCGUCAAUGUGGGACGCCCUGGAUACGGAACACAAAAAUGUAUAUAAGAAGAAGACUGAAGCGGCCAAAAAGGAUUAUUUGAAAGCUUUAGCGGCUUAUCGAGCAAGCUUAGUCUCUAAAGGUGCUGGAGAACAGGACAACAUGUACGGAGCUUACGGUGGGUACGGAGGAGGGUACAGUGGGUACUCCCCACCUACUGGGCUCCCUUCCCCGCCCAUGCCUGCCCCCUCCCCUCAGCAGAUGACAACACUCACCAACAUGAAUAAGAAGCCCCACAUGAUGGCUGACAACAGGGCAACCAACCAACAACAGCAACAGCAACACAGUCAGCAGGGCAUGAUGGGUGGCCAUAUGGGACAGCAACAGCAACUACCGCAACAACAACAGCAACCAUCACAACAACCUCAAACAAACAACAUCGGCUCAAACUACAUGCAACAACAGCAGUGGUCUUGGUGUUACAGGGGGGCGGUGGGUCAGAACCCCAGCAGUCAGUGAGCCACCCUCUCAACAACAACAACCACCCUCUACAGUGUAUCCGCCACGGCUGUCCCAAUCCUGCCACCACCAACCCGGAGUGGGAGGACGAGUAUUGCAGUAAUGAGUGUGUCGUCACCCACUGCAGAGACGUGUUCAACUCUUGGGUAGCCUCUAGCCAGAGUGGCCCGUCUGUGACAUAAGGUGUCUGGUGUUGUUCCUCUGUAAAUACCGUACAAAGACUGUGACCCCGCCCAGCCCGGCCCUCCGCCCACUGUUGCAUGUUUUGCCCUUUUUCAAGUGAACGCAUAUUUACAUAUUGUAGGUAGAUUAGUUGUUAGAUAAUUCUCAUCAAUAUAUAAGGCAAGGUAUAAAAUGUUUAUAUUUUAAAAAGUGAUAAGUUAGUAUUUAUGUUUUAUGCUCAUGUUGUUAAUUUAAUUUUCGAGUCUAUGUAUAAACAUUUUGUAAUGAUAGAGAUUUAUCGAGUAUUUUAUGAAUAUCGACGAUUGCAAGUUAGAGAUGUACAAAUUGUUUUAAUACCAGAUCUAGAUUAUACCUGAUGUUGUUUGAUUUUGUAGGGCCACUUAGGUGAUUUUUUAUGUUUUAUAAAGGCGUGUUGCCCUUGUAAUGAUAACUUGGUUACAAAUCAUUCCCUUCAGUUCUGGUGUUAUUUUUUAAAGUGUAAAGUAAUUAAUUAGUAGGUUGUUUUUCCAAAAAUGUACUUGUUGAUAUUUUGAGAAAUCCAUAAACGUUAAAAUUACAAAAACAUUA